rnacentral:snoRNA from 1 species
GCCCUCCAGAUCCCUUACCCACCAGACCCAAGCACGUUCGCACUGGUCAUAAAAGGAGGGACAGUGACAGUGGCGCUGACUUCAAUUCUUUUGCGACACACAAGCUAGUUUCAAACAAAA